UACGGAGGAUCCGAGCGUUAUCCGGAUUUAUUGGGUUUAAAGGGAGCGUAGGUGGAUUGUUAAGUCAGUUGUGAAAGUUUGCGGCUCAACCGUAAAAUUGCAGUUGAAACUGGCAGUCUUGAGUACAGUAGAGGUGGGCGGAAUUCGUGGCGUAGCGGUGAAAUGCUUAGAUAUCACGAAGAACUCCGAUUGCGAAGGCAGCUCACUGGACUGCAACUGACACUGAGGCUCGAAAGUGUGGGUAUCAAACAGG
rnacentral:rRNA from 1 species